CACAUUGAGUUGGGGGCUUACACCGUUAGCAUAACCCCCACAUUCCAUACCCUACCUUUCUCCUCUCAUUAGUCCCUCUAUUCCCUGGGACAAUUCUACUUCUCUUUCAUACCAUUCAUAUAUAUACAUGUGUGUGUAUAUAUAUAUAUACAUAUUUGUGUGUGUGUAUGUGUGUUUGUGUAUAUAUGAUUUUUAUUUACCUAUAUUGUUAGUGUACAGCCAAUUGUUAGUAGUACAGUGAUUCAGCUGGCCUGCUCUCAGGGACCUAGCAAAGGCUUAGUUAAUCACCUGCUCAUGCUGUCUUUUUNNNNNNNNNNNUCUAAUAUAUAUUUUUUGCAUCUUUGCCAAAAGUCUAAUGACUUUGCCUGUGUGGAUUAGUGUUGUGAAUAGCCCUGGGUCUAAUUACAUUUGAUUUUAAUUCUGUUCUCCUGUGAGGGGUUGUGAACAAGGAAUGAGUCAGCACUCAGGUGAUUUCCUGAAAACCUGCUUCCCACCUUAAUUUGUAAAAUAAAGGAGAGCUGUCAAUUGGGCAGAUAAAGGGAAGAUGGAGUGGAAGGUGAGGAGAGAGAAGAAGGAAAAAAAUGGAAGAGGGGGAGGACAUAGAAGAGGAGGAGGAGGAAGAAAAGCAGCACAAAAGCACAUGGCCUGGAGAAACCACAAGUUCUAAGGGGUCUCAUAGAUGUGGAAGAUGGUAGAGUAGCGGAAGAUCUGCCCAAUCUAGGUGCACAGCAUGUAUUCAUAUUAACUGAGUUGUGUUUUCAUUGCUGGGGUAUAUUUGGGUUGGAGAUUUACCGCAACAGGUUAGUGUCUGGGCUUCUAUUCUAUUUACCUGUGUUUCUUAUUUUGUUGUUGUUGAUGCUGUUACUAUGUCUCAAUAAUAUAAUUUCAAAUCAUGUUGAUGAUACCCCCAGCAUUGCUCUUUGGUCAAGAUUACUCUUUAGCUAUCUGGGAUCUCUUGUAUCCUCAAGGUAUUUGUGUGUGUGUGUGUGUGUGUGUAUGUGUGUGUGUGUGUGUGUAUUGGGGUGUGCACAUGUGAUUGCAGUGCCUGUGGAGGCCAGAAGGGAUCACCCACAGCUGGAAUUAUAGUUUGUUGUGGGUUCCCAGGUCUGGUUGCUGGGUUGCAAACUCCAGUUUUCUAGAAGAGCAGUAUAUGAUCCUAAUUCCUGCACCAGUUCUCCAACACAUCU
ensembl:lincRNA Gm44226 predicted gene, 44226